rnacentral:RNase_P_RNA from 1 species
AAAAACGGGAAAUUGCGGUACUGCUUUAUUGCAGUAUUGAGGAAAGUCCAGACUGCCACGACCUGAGAUGGUCGUAAUGUUCGUGCCCAUCGCAAGCUGGGGCAGAGCUACGCUCUGACGACGGCAAAAUCGACUCACGUAGCCGAAAGUAGCCAUAAAGUGCACAGAGAAUGAGUAGACUGGCGACAGUCUAGUGAAAAGUGGUAAACUCCACGAGGCAGAAACCCGAAUUUUGGUAGGGGAACUUCCUGUAGGGAAUCAAACCGAAGGGGAGAACGCAGUUGUUGCGUUAGAUAAAUAAUUUCCUAAAACAGAAACUGGCUUACGGUU